rnacentral:rRNA from 1 species
AGAUUGAACGCUGGCGGCAUGCUUUACACAUGCAAGUCGAACGGUAACAGGCCGCAAGGUGCUGACGAGUGGCGAACGGGUGAGUAAUGUAUCGGAACGUGCCCAGUCGUGGGGGAUAACGCAGCGAAAGCUGCGCUAAUACCGCAUACGAUCUAUGGAUGAAAGCGGGGGACCGUAAGGCCUCGCGCGAUUGGAGCGGCCGAUAUCAGAUUAGGUAGUUGGUGGGGUAAAGGCUCACCAAGCCAACGAUCUGUAGCUGGUCUGAGAGGACGACCAGCCACACUGGGACUGAGACACGGCCCAGACUCCUACGGGAGGCAGCAGUGGGGAAUUUUGGACAAUGGGCGCAAGCCUGAUCCAGCAAUGCCGCGUGCAGGAAGAAGGCCUUCGGUUGUAAACUGCUUUGUACGGAACGAAACGGUACCGUGGUUAAUACCGUGGGCGUAAUGACGGUACCGUAAGAAUAAGACAACCGGCUAACUACGUGUCCAGCAGCCGCGGUAACG